rnacentral:lncRNA from 1 species
GACCAUUUCAAUGUGGUUCAUAAUCAUCCUGGAGAGAAGGCGUGUCAGAUGGGACAUCCCUGAGGAAGACCUGGCUCCAGGUGGAGGCGCCCCACGCCACCUUGGUUGUGGCGGCUGCCAGUCCUGGCCACAGCCCCAACCCCUAUGAGGCACCAGCAUCCUCUUUGGUAUCCACAGAGGUGGCAGGAAUCUGUCCAUCCACACCUUCAUCCACUCAUUAAGCAAAUUUGCAACCAAGGCCCUGGACAAAACAAAGCGAGGUGGCUCCAGAGCAUCACUGCCAGGAGGGGCCUCCUUCGAUGGGGGCAGCAAGGUGCUCUCCAAGGACCCAUGGAUGGGCCUGAAGGAAGAGGUCUCAGGAAUAAGCAAGCCACAGACACACCCUGCAGGCAGGAGGAGGACGGCAUGAAGGCUGCAGGUGCAGGGCUCUGUGCUCAGCUGGAUGGGGCUGAGGGAGGAGACCCAUUCAGAUGCUGGGGCCUGCUGGGUCGAAGGCCAGUCAGCUCCUCUUGCUCUCAGCCAGGCCAACCCUUGAGGGUCUCAGACUUCACUGUUCACCACUCCGCUACACACAGGUAGCCUGUGAAAGUCACUUCUCUAGAUCCCC